CAAGCCGGCCGCGAGAGGGUGUCGCGCGUGCAAACCCAGCAAGGCCCCACCUCUCAGCGAAGCGCGCCUCCGCCCGCCUGCUCUGGCCACCGCGGGGAGGAAGGAUGGGCGCAGGGGACUCGGAGCGCGUGUCCCCAGGUCGAGGACCCCGUCCUCGCGUCCCAAAGGCCUCGGAAUCGCACCGUGGCGUCCUGAGAUCUGGGUAAACCCGACUGGGCGGGACGGGCACGAGGACGCAGUUCACUGCAGGCCCCGGCCCCCCGGAUGCAGGCAGGAGAGAGCAGCCUAAGGAGGGCGGAGCUGGAAAGGACAAGCCUCCCUGCGGGGAGCACCCCGCCGCCGGGGUUGGUCGAGGCCGGCUGAUCAGCGUCGAGGCUCACUCCAGACGAGACGGCACCGCUUGGAAUCUCCAGGAGCUCUCGGGCCCACUGCGCCCCACUCAUCGCCCACUGAGAGGAAACAGGCAAACUGGGAGAGGAUAAUCGCCACCACCACGUCCUUCAAGUUCUGAUGGUGACACUCCUCUCUGCAAUCUCUCCAAGAAUGAGAUCGCUUACCAUUUUGGGUUUGGAAAAUUUAGAAUGAGACUCUUUCACAACCAUCCUUGCUACAACCCUGGUUUC